rnacentral:lncRNA from 1 species
AAUUUUCGUAUACACGUAAACAUAUUUUUAGUUUGAAAAACACAACCGUUUCUUAGCGUUAGCGGAGUUCAUCAUCACAAGGUGGUUCGGCGUGACGUGAACUCUAACCAUACCUCAGGAGAUACCCUAUGCGCCUCUCCGACCGAGGUACGUAUAUAACCAGAUUCUGUGCCCCUCUAAUAGGCUGGUCCACAAAACCCGCCCACUGCAGCAAGCUAAACCCACCAUACAAUAAAAAUUCAACAGCAUGACAUGGCAAUUUUAUCAUUAUCUAGCCUAUCAAAGCAAACAACAGUUUAUACAUUUUCAACACAAAUACCAAUUCAGCCAUUCAUGCCAAUAUUGCCAUAAGCCAAUCAAUUAGAACCAUAAAUUCACAAUACAUCAAAUGGUCUCCAAUUACUCUAUUUUCAAAGCCAUCAUUCAAUUUCAAGACAAUUUAUAAAAUCAUUUCAUUUAAACACAUUUUGUUUAUAAAACCUAAAAAUUAACCAUUUAAACUCAUUUUUCAUAAAAUUCACAAAAUCGAAUAAAAAGACCACUUUAGAUAAUUAAAAUGAUGAUAAGGUUACUCACUAUUUCGGGAGUCAAAUUUUUAGAGUACUCCGACUAUUGAUCCUCCGGUACAAUUUCUUUGCCCUUAUCGGAGGAUUCACCACAUAAACAUAAUGCACAAUCAAGCAAUUUACCACAUUGGUGCUAAACCGUUAUAAAACUAUAUGGAUGCAUGAAAUGGAAUGCAAAUUGUUCGGAUUAUCGUCUAAACAUGGUGUUCUACACAAAUUCAAUUGUGUAACUAAAACGGUAUUGGCCUAAUUCAAUCUAUCACUCGAUUAAUUGGCCAAUAUAUCUAAUUCAACUCCAAUUAACUCCAUUUUUCUUCCAAUUCUCCAAACCAUCAAACACAAGUCAAAUAGCAUAAAAUUUAGCAAAAUUAUCUUCACAUUUUCUCUUGGGAAUUUCGGCCAUGGUAGGUGCAUCAACUCUAUGAUUUUUCCUACUUGAUUUUUUCACUGUAAUUCAUCAUUUCCUAACCAAUUCACUUGAAAUAAAAUCAAAUCCACCAUACACACUCUACAUGGAAAAUUCACCCAAUGAUGGGUAAUGGGAGUAAGUGAAUUUUUCUUGUUGGCUUUUCAUGCUACACAUCACUAACUAACUAAAAACACUAAAAUACAUUGAAAUCUAACCAAAUCAAGCAUCAAAACCUCCCUCUAAGUGUUCAGCCAACAAGGGAUUCAUCAUGAUUUCAUGUGAUUCAACCAUGGAAAAUAAGAAAAAAUGCUUAAGAAAGAGAGAUCUCAAGCUUAAAUUGAAAAAUCUUACUUUUUUUCACUUGUUUCCUUGAAUUUUCACACUUUUCCCUUGAAUAUUUCCACCUAGGGUUUUGUUCUUCCUUUUUCUUGCUUCUCCUUGGU